rnacentral:lncRNA from 1 species
ACAAAUCUAAUGUGUUAUGUCGAUGUCGAUAGUUGUGUUUAGUUUGUUCUCGCUGUGCCAUUCCCAGUUUACAACAAGUUCCUAAAUUUUUCCAACUAACCACAACUUCGCCACUUCAACUUUCAUGUAACUUAAUGACCGAAGAAUUAUUGAUGAAUGAAAAAAGGUUCUCCCUAAACUCAAGUUAUUGGUACUUCCAAAGCAGUUGAUGAUUUAUUAUUAUCACAGAUUGUCUUUAAAUUUUGCUUAAUCAACUAAAUUAAUCAUCUGGUUUUCUUUCCAAGAGAAUGUAAAAGGGCAAUUUCACGGUCCCGGGUCCCCUAAGUUCUUUGUCUGCUACCUUGAAUUUCCCUCUUUGACUUCAGGUCCACUCUUUGAGUUUAAUCCUGCGCCGCUAUUCAAUGGACUGAAUCCAUUGAACUUGGCGAGUGACGAGAGAUUAGCGACUACGUGUUGUCAUUCAGCAAUCCACUUGCGUGCCGUCCUCUUUCGUCGCUCCGGGGCAGAGGGGAGUUGAGCCUGCUCCAGCUACGCAGCCAGAAUCUUUCGACUACCCCUUAGGAUAGAUUUCAUUUACAGGUUUUUCUAAAUUUGCAUGACAGACUUUAUGAAAAGUCAUGUCCUUUGAAGAAAACGGACAGUGACUAUACAUACAUUCAAUAAGGUCCCUUGUUUGAUAACCAGUUGGCUGUUACCCUUUCACUAUGAUUUGAGGGUAACUCCGUCGUUGCUUAUCAUGGACUUCAUCCAUUGGUGAAAACUGACUAGAGAAUGCUGUAAUUCAAGACUGAUUAGUUGUGUAGUUGUUAGAUAAAUUAAAAGUGCAUAUCUGGGCUCCCUUCUUUUCUGUGGUCCCGUUUC